rnacentral:lncRNA from 1 species
UACCCAGUUGUCCUUGAAAAAGUUUCCCAGCUGCUCUGACUUGCCUUUCUUUUUUGUUAUAUAUUUUCUACAUCCCACUUGAGAGUUCUAUCAAAUCCUGCAAGGCUAUUUUGCAGAUGUUUGAUACCUUUGUACCUAUUUGUCACAGCAAACGUGAAAGAAGUUCUGGCUUACCAUAAUCUACAAGGGGUUUUGAUUUUUCUCCCAUUUAUACACAGUGGUGAACAGAUAUAUGAAAAUGACUCCAUGGGGCUUUCACUGGGGCCCAAAUAUCCAUGCUUUGUGUGACUCUAAACUGCUAUGUACAAAUGAUGGACCUUUAAACAUGCACCCCCCGGCAAAUGUCAACUAAAUCAUCAUUAUUUCUGGAAUAUGAGCAGGUGGUGCGGCAGGAGGGACAAGUCAUUGAUCUUCCAAUUUAUCCGCUACUCUUACAUAUCCUGAGGUCGAGGCAGCCUGGAGAGAUUGAUGGAGUGCUGGCGCCUGCCCAGCAGCCGUGUGUUCCUCAUGCAUGAAAAUCAACCACAGGAAACCGAAAUUCGACAAUUGGCAGCAAUAUCAGCCACCUCUGUAAUAAAUAUAACAGGGCGUUC